GACGAACGCUGGCGGCGUGCUUAACACAUGCAAGUCGAACGGAAAGGCCCUGCUUUUGUGGGGUGCCCGAGUGGCGAACGGGUGAGUAACACGUGAGUAACCUGCUCUUGACUUUGGGAUAACUUAAGGAAACUGGGGCUAAUAUCGGAUAGGAUCUCCUGCUGCAUGGUGGGGGUUGGAAAGUUUCGGCGGUUGUGGAUGGACGCGCGGCUUAUGAGCUUGUUGGUGGGGUAGGGGCUUACCCAGGCUUUGACGGAUAGCCGGCCUGAGAGGGGGACCGGGCACAAUGGGACUGAGAGACGGAGCAGACGGCUACGUUGGGCAGCAGGGGGGAAUAUGGCACAGUGAUCGGAAGCCGGAUGCAGCAGCGCCGGGGUCGGGAUGACGGCUUGCGGGGUGUAAACCGCUUUCGCCUAUGACGAAGCGUGAGUGACGGUAAUGAGUAAAGAAGCACCGGCUAACUACGUG
rnacentral:rRNA from 1 species